rnacentral:lncRNA from 1 species
GGUUGCCACGCCCACCAACGGCUGGGGCUGGAGGGAGCCAUGGCGAUGUGCGGCCAUCUCCACGCUGACCGUGCUUUAGCACGGGGCUCUGGUCUCAGCAGUUUUUGCCUGAAGUCUCUAUUGUGUGGGACCUGGGGCUUCCAGUUGCGUUCUGCGGUUUUGUCAGCCCUGUCCCUCCCUCUCUCCCUCCACGCCCUCAGAUUCCGACAAACCCCGCCGGAUUCGGUUCAAUUAAAGUUGACUAGCGUUUGUA